GUGGCUGUGGCUCAGUGGUAGAGUGCUUGCCUAGCAUGUAUGAGGCCCUGGGUUUGAUCCUCAGCACCACA
rnacentral:tRNA from 1 species